rnacentral:rRNA from 1 species
UGGGGAAUAUUGGACAAUGGGGGCAACCCUGAUCCAGCAAUGCCGCGUGUGUGAUGAAGGCCUUAGGGUUGUAAAGCACUUUCACUGGUGAAGAUUAUGACGGUAACCAGAGAAGAAGCCCCGGCUAACUUCGUGCCAGCAGCCGCGGUAAUACGAAGGGGGCGAGCGUUGUUCGGAAUUACUGGGCGUAAAGGGAGCGCAGGCGGUUCAUUUAGUCAGACGUGAAAGCCCCGGGCUCAACCCGGGAGGUGCGUUUGAUACUGGUGAGCUAGAAAUCAGAAGAGGAUAGUGGAAUUCCCAGUGUAGAGGUGAAAUUCGUAGAUAUUGGGAAGAACACCAGUGGCGAAAGC